rnacentral:tRNA from 1 species
UCCUUGGUGGCUUAGAUGGUAAAGAAUCUGCCUCCAGUGCGGAAGACCUAGGUUCAAUCCCUGGGUUGGGAA